rnacentral:rRNA from 1 species
CAUUAAGAAGUCUGUGAGGAAAGCGAAAAUAAAGGCUUGACUCAAAAAGAGGAAAGCGUAAUAUACGCCACCUCGCGACGGUGAGCUGAAAGCCGCGUCGCACCUGCUCUUUAACAAUUUAUCAGACAAUCUGUGUGGGCACUCGAAGAUACGGAUUCUUAACGUCCUCGGACGAAAAAUGAAUACCAAGUCUCAAGAGUGAACACGUAAUUCAUUACGAAGUUUAAUUCUUUGAGCAUCAAACUUUNGGGAACCUGCGGUUGGAUCACCUCCUUACCUUAAAGAAGCGUACUUUGCAGUGCUCACACAGAUUGUCUGAUGAAAAGUGAAUAGCAAGGCGUUUACGCGUUGGGAGUGAGGCUGAAAAAAUAAGGCCGUUCGCUUUCUAUUAAUGAAAGCUCACCCUACACGAAAAUAUCACGCAGCGCGUGAUAAGCAAUUUUCGUGUCCCCUUCGUCUAGAGGCCCAGGACACCGCCCUUUCACGGCGGUAACAGGGGUUCGAAUCCCCUAGGGGACGCCNCUUUGUGAUUCAUGACUGGGGUGAAGUCGUAACAAGGUAACCGUAGGGGAACCUGCGGUUGGAUCACCUCCUUACCUGAAAGAAGCGUACUUUGCAGUGCUCACACAGAUUGUCUGAUGAAAAGUGAAUAGCAAGGCGUCUUGCGAUUGAGACUUCAGUGUCCCCUUCGUCUAGAGGCCCAGGACACCGCCCUUUCACGGCGGUAACAGGGGUUCGAAUCCCCUAGGGGACGCCACUUGCUGGUUUGUGAGUGAAAGUCACCUGCCUUAAUAUCUCAAAACUGACUUACGAGUCACGUUUGAGAUAUUUGCUCUUUAAAAAUCUGGAUCAAGCUGAAAAUUGAAACACAGAACAACGAAAGUUGUUCGUGAGUCUCUCAAAUUNGUAAUAGCUCACUGGUCGAGUCGGCCUGCGCGGAAGAUGUAACGGGGCUAAACCAUGCACCGAAGCUGCGGCAGCGACGCUUAUGCGUUGUUGGGUAGGGGAGCGUUCUGUAAGCCUGUGAAGGUGGCCUGUGAGGGUUGCUGGAGGUAUCAGAAGUGCGAAUGCUNGUUGGGUAGGGGAGCGUUCUGUAAGCCUGUGAAGGUGGCCUGUGAGGGUUGCUGGAGGUAUCAGAAGUGCGAAUGCUGACAUAAGUAACGAUAAAGCGGGUGAAAAGCCCGCUCGCCGGAAGACCAAGGGUUCCUGUCCAACGUUAAUCGGGGCAGGGUGAGUCGACCCCUAAGGCGAGGCCGAAAGGCGUAGUCGAUGGGAAACGGGUUAAUAUUCCCGUACUUGGUGUUACUGCGAAGGGGGGACGGAGAAGGCUAUGUUGGCCGGGCGACGGUUGUCCCGGUUUAAGCGUGUAGGUGUGUGUUCCAGGUAAAUCCGGUUCACUUUAACACUGAGGCGUGACGACGAGGCACUACGGUGCUGAAGCAACAAAUGCCCUGCUUCCAGGAAAAGCCUCUAAGCAUCAGGUAACAUCAAAUCGUACCCCAAACCGACACAGGUGGUCAGGUAGAGAAUACCAAGGCGCUUGAGAGAACUCGGGUGAAGGAACUAGGCAAAAUGGUGCCGUAACUUCGGGAGAAGGCACGCUGACACGUAGGUGAAGUGAUUUACUCACGGAGCUGAAGUCAGUCGAAGAUACCAGCUGGCUGCAACUGUUUAUUAAAAACACAGCACUGUGCAAACACGAAAGUGGACGUAUACGGUGUGACGCCUGCCCGGUGCCGGAAGGUUAAUUGAUGGGGUCAGCGCAAGCGAAGCUCCUGAUCGAAGCCCCGGUAAACGGCGGCCGUAACUAUAACGGUCCUAAGGUAGCGAAAUUCCUUGUCGGGUAAGUUCCGACCUGCACGAAUGGCGUAAUGAUGGCCAGGCUGUCUCCACCCGAGACUCAGUGAAAUUGAACUCGCUGUGAAGAUGCAGUGUACCCGCGGCAAGACGGAAAGACCCCGUGAACCUUUACUAUAGCUUGACACUGAACAUUGAGCCUUGAUGUGUAGGAUAGGUGGGAGGCUUUGAAGUGUGGACGCCAGUCUGCAUGGAGCCGACCUUGAAAUACCACCCUUUAAUGUUUGAUGUUCUAACGUGGACCCGUAAUCCGGGUUGCGGACAGUGUCUGGUGGGUAGUUUGACUGGGGCGGUCUCCUCCUAAAGAGUAACGGAGGAGCACGAAGGUUGGCUAAUCCUGGUCGGACAUCAGGAGGUUAGUGCAAUGGCAUAAGCCAGCUUGACUGCGAGCGUGACGGCGCGAGCAGGUGCGAAAGCAGGUCAUAGUGAUCCGGUGGUUCUGAAUGGAAGGGCCAUCGCUCAACGGAUAAAAGGUACUCCGGGGAUAACAGGCUGAUACCGCCCAAGAGUUCAUAUCGACGGCGGUGUUUGGCACCUCGAUGUCGGCUCAUCACAUCCUGGGGCUGAAGUAGGUCCCAAGGGUAUGGCUGUUCGCCAUUUAAAGUGGUACGCGAGCUGGGUUUAGAACGUCGUGAGACAGUUCGGUCCCUAUCUGCCGUGGGCGCUGGAGAACUGAGGGGGGCUGCUCCUAGUACGAGAGGACCGGAGUGGACGCAUCACUGGUGUUCGGGUUGUCAUGCCAAUGGCACUGCCCGGUAGCUAAAUGCGGAAGAGAUAAGUGCUGAAAGCAUCUAAGCACGAAACUUGCCCCGAGAUGAGUUCUCCCUGAGACUUAGAGUCUCCUGAAGGAACGUUGAAGACGACGACGUUGAUAGGCCGGGUGUGUAAGCGCAGCGAUGCGUUGAGCUAACCGGUACUAAUGAACCGUGAGGCUUAACCUU